UACGAAGGGGGCUAGCGUUAUUCGGAAUUACUGGGCGUAAAGGGCGCGUAGGCGGCCACGCACGUCCGUUGUGAAAUCGCCCGGCUCAACUGGGCGGGGUCAGCGGAUACGGUGUGGCUCGAGCAAGCUAGGGGGCAAUGGAAUUCCCGGUGUAGUGGUGGAAUGCGUAGAUAUCGGGAGGAACACCAGUGGCGAAGGCGGUUGCCUGGAGCUUUGCUGACGCUGAGGCGCGAAAGCGUGGGGAGCGAUCCGG
rnacentral:rRNA from 1 species